GACGACGCUGGCGGCGUGCCUAACACAUGCAAGUCGAGCGGAGAUGUACUGAAGAUUUAUCGGAUGUACAUCUUAGCGGCGGACGGGUGAGUAACGCGUGGGCAACCUGCCUUCCACUGGGGGAUAACACAGGGAAACCUGUGCUAAUACCGCAUGACAUCACAUAGGGGCAUCCUGUGUGAUCAAAGGAGUGAUCCGGUGGAAGAUGGGCCCGCGUCCGAUUAGCUAGUUGGUGAGGUAACGGCUCACCAAGGCGACGAUCGGUAGCCGGACUGAGAGGUUGGCCGGCCACAUUGGGACUGAGACACGGCCCAGACUCCUACGGGAGGCGGCAGUGGGGAAUAUUGCACAAUGGGCGAAAGCCUGAUGCAGCGACGCCGCGUGAGGGAUGACGGCCUUCGGGUUGUAAACCUCUUUCAGCAGGGAAGAAGCGAAAGUGACGGUACCUGCAGAAGAAGCACCGGCUAACUACGUG
rnacentral:rRNA from 1 species